rnacentral:pre_miRNA from 2 species
UCUUGUGGAUGAGCAAAGAAAGGGGUCUCUUGAGAUGGAAUCUGCUCCUGGUGAAGAUGCUGUAAA